UGUUCUUGGAGCUGGCGCAGGCUCACCUCACCUCCUGCCGAGUUAAUCCACAUAGAUCAUUUAGCUGAAUGAUCUAAACACAGAAAUACAUUUUUGUUUUUAUUCUCAGAACAGUAUCAUUCUCUUUUUUCUUUUUCUUUUUUCUUUUUUUUUCCUUUUUUUUUAAAAACCUUUAGUAAUUCAGUGACUUCUGCAAUAGGUCUUCAGAACUCUUCUCCUAUCUGAAGGGGGCUGAAGGGGGCUGCACUAUCUGUCAGAAUAUUAUUUUUUUGGUGUAUUUUCUAAGCACUUUUCAUAUUUUCCAAGUUUUACAGCCUAGAGUUAGGCUUAACUUACUUCUGACUGGUGGUGUCAGAGUCACAAGGCUUCGGCUCCACCUAUGUCAUUGGCUUCUGAUGGAAAGGAUGGCAGACUGAACCAUAUUUGCUUUCCAAAACCAAGCUUGAAAUUCCCGUUGAACUUGGACUCCCUGGUUUUAAUUCAUAUCUGGAUAGACUGACUUAUGUAUUUUCUUCAUUCCUCUCCCCAGAUAUAUGAUUCUCUUUUUUUUUUUUCUGCAAGGAUGGUCUAUUUGUAAGGGUUCCUUAUGUUCUGCCUAAGUUUUCCCUUUGCUUCCAGUCAUUUUAGAACGCUCCUGUUUCUACCUGUUGCUCCCAUUAUGAUGUUUGUACUCUUGCAUACAACUGAAAAGCAUCUUCUGUCAUUCUUACCUUUGGAGUUGUUGUUUGUCCAGGUUAGUCAGUUCCUUUUAAUGUUUCCUCACUAGCUCUAAAAGGUAUUUUAUUUGAAUCUGGCAAAUAAUGUUCUCCGAGUUCAAGCUCUUGUGAUCCUGUAUGGCCCUGUCUGCCAGCAUCCAUAACUUUUUCCUCAUAAACAGUUCGUAGCAUUUUGCCAAAUUGUCAUAAUAAGAAGAAAAUGGGGAAAAGUAUAAAUGCAAAUGACAUUUAUCAAAUGUAAUGGUAAUGGUCCUCAGCUUCACCUUGCAAUCAUGUGCUUGAUAUGCUAUCUUUCUGGUCUCCUCCUCCGAGUAUAAAAUUGACACUUUUCUGUAUUCUUUUGCUGCAAUUUUAAGAACUUCUGUUCCAAAUAGGUUGUCUAACUGCCUUGGCAAGUUUAUAGACCUAAGCACAAUCAGCAUGUUUCUUUGGUGGUAAGUGUACAGUCUCCAAAUUUCUGUGUGUGACCACAGCCAUUUUUUGGAAUUACAAGCCUGUUUGCAUCUUUCUCCACAAGUAAACAAACUGAAAGCACCUGGCAAAGCACAGCUGAACUCGUGCAGCCGUCAAAGAAAGGUAGCUGCAUCCAGGCUGCCUACUGGAAAUGGUAUGUAGCAUGUGGCAGCCCCACAAACCACGCGCAGGUACUGCAGGUACAAUAAAAUAUGGUUAGGCUCCAUGCUGCUAUGGUAGAAGGCAGACAUUGCAGAGUUACCUGAAGGGUCUUACAACUCUGUCUGUCAAGGAUCCUUUUCUCCACAGCUCAUGUCAGCCAUACUUCGGAAAAUUUCAUCUAAAAUUAUUCAGCCACACACGAAAAUGAGAGUAUGGCAAGUAAGUUGAUUUUUGAACUUGCUAAAAAUCUUAUAGUGCUUUCAUUCAGAAAUCGUGCUUCUUCCAGGCUUUAGAGAAAGAAGCAUCUCCAGUAUCAAGCAAGCCCCUUUUGCUGUCUCCAGGAAAACAUGAACUGGCCAAGUGAUAACCUCUAAGUGAUUUUAAUUUGGACACCCUCAGCAGAAGCUUGAUAGAAUUUGGCAACUAAAUUCCUGGCUGGUGACAUCUGCAGUGAACCUCCUCCAGUCCUCGAAUUCUCCCCUGCCAGCUCAUCUGCCUGUGUGCAGCUCCAUCCUGCAACCCACAGCUGGCUGCUUCUGUGGUGGAGGGCAGGGCAGUGCUGCGCAAGGAGCGGGGAGCAGGGCCAGCAGGCACGUAAAGCAGAUAAAGAGGAAAAAAAACUGGAGACUGUACUAGGACUUGGUGUAAUGGGAAGGAAGAAGCUGUAGGGAUGGAAAACAAAAUAAGCAGGGAGGAAGCAGAACCAGCAUCUAUACUACCCCAUGUCUGUUCUUUCUUCUCUGGCAUAGAGAAAUCCAAGGUUUCCCUGGGUCUCCGUGUUUCUUUGUUGACAAGUAUCUGUGCUACCUGAUCAUGAAGUACGUAUCCUAUAUCCCUCAAGUUUGCUGAUUGAGUUUCUCCCUUAUGUGACUGAUACUAUGGGUGAUAACAGACAUCUACUGCUACCAGUUACUCAUUAGCACACAGUCCAGAGAUUUGUACUGGGGACAUAAAAGGUUUCAGUUCCAUUUGGAGGUCACUAAGGUUUCAUAUAAUAUCAUUUACUUUCAAUUAACAUAGGAAGUGACUUAAUUCCAAUAAAUUGCUAGGUGCUUAAAGUAAACCUAGCCAGAAAUACAAAUUUCUGGCCAGCUGAAAAUUUUUACAGUUACUAUCUCACUUAGACAAAAGAGAAAAAAAAAUGUAUUUUUGUGGCAGCACAUAAGAAUAAACUGCUGUUCCUUUAAUUGUCCUUUGUGAGCUACCUGUCAUCAUUUUUCUCUGUGCCAUCAAAGGGUAAACAGAUAGAAAGAAAAUGAGGUGAUCAAAACUUUUAUGGAAGGAUGACUUCGAUGUUAUAGAUGGCAUGAGCCAGGACUUAAUCCAAGAUUAACACAGUGUACAAGUUAAUUAAAAGAAACAAAUGUGAGGAAGCUAGUUCUAAUUUUCAGCAGCUCAUUUAGCUUAUCUUUAAUGCAAAUUGUCAGUGCAAUUCCUAUCGUGAAAAUAAAUCUCAUUAAAAAUACAUCACCUCUUCACACAUGUAAACCGAGGAAAGAAUGUGCUCCCACCAGGUGAAUGUGAUGUUACUCAGCUGCACAGCAGAGAUAAUGUGGAUUUCACUGCUUCAUCUAGUUUUAUAUUUUCUGAAAAAUCUUUCUAAUAAUAGAAACCUUGCUCAGUGAACUAUCAGAGUGCUAAUGAAUGUGGAAGAAUGGAGUGAUGUAAACCUUUUGAAACACAGUAGAGCAGUAUGAUUCUCACCUAUUUUACAGGUGGGAGACCUUACUAAUUGAGGAAGUUAGAAGUUAUAGGCCCCAAAUCCAUAGAUAAUGAAAGGGCAGACUUGGAGUAAUGAGAGUUCGAAACCCAUGUUCCCUUUUUUACCUCCAGACUUAUGCUACCAAGUGUUGUAUGCCCUUAGGCUGACAAUCUCCUUGAGAUUUACUGUUGAGUAGAGUUCAGAUAAAAGGAAUCUCUGAAAGUAAAUGCUAUUUGAAAUUGUAUAAAAAUGCAAAAAGAAAAGCUAUGUUGUGUUUAUAAAUCAUGAUAUCAUAUUAUUAUGAUUCUUUUGGAGCAGUUUAUGGAGCAGUAAAGCCAGAAUUCUUUACAGAGAUGAAAGUCAAUAUCUAUCUCCGUACCUCCACCAACAUUAGUAAGAAAUAUCGCUAGACUUUGCAAGAUAGGAAGCAAAGAAAAGGAAUAUUAAAUAGAGACAUUUUUUUUCCAUAUUAUAGUUCUGUUAUAAAACAAACAAGUGUAUAGCCUUUUGUAUGCUUACAGAUUUAUUUUUUUUUAACAGAACAACGAAGAAGUAGAUAUUCCAAAACAUUUGCGAGGACAUCAGGGAUCCUCUAUAGGCUGUGAUCUGCUUCUUCUGGAAGAAGCUUCAAGAGACUUCUUCACUCGUACAAGACUAAUUAUUUUGGGACUGGGGGCAAUUCCACAUCUAAUCAGCCUCACUCCGCUUGUACUGUAGGAAAAAGGUUAUUUUUAUUUCAUGGUCCAACAAAUUGAGGCUGUGGGAGGAGCUACUGAAGAUCACUGCAGGCAAUGUGCGACCUAGGGUAGGAACUCAGUUCUUUCAGCUUUUAUAUACAACCUGCUGAAUAAUGUUUUCUCUUGCUAAUGAGAAAAUCCGUCUAGGCCAGAAAGGGUAGGAGCAUUUCAUUCCAGAGAGGAAUAUCUGGAUGCUCUGACUUUUGCCUCCCGGAAUAUGUUUUACUACUGACCAACUUUACUGCGUUAUUAAUUUUAGUCAUCUGUCCACAGAAUAAUCAAGAACUGCCUUAGGAAAAUAUUAAGCUGAGCCGUAUACCAGUAAGAGCAAACAAAUUCACUUGGACAGCUGCAAAAAUGAAUUUAACUUACUCUUGCUGUGCCUAGGCAUAGUGUGAUUUCAGAGUUUCCUUUUGAUAUGUCACGAAGUCUCAUCACGUCUCAAAUAAGGUUACUGGAAGAGCAAAAGCAGGACUUUUGAUAUACUACAAACAAGGGACUCCAUGAAUCUUACAUACACAUGUAAAUCUACCUAUGAGCAUUGCUAGAAAAAUGACCAGGUGUUGUAAACCUCUGAAUUCAAUCUGUGCAAAGAUCUCCGUGUCUAUAAUGUGUAAAGGCCAACAAGCACUGUUCUCCAGAGAUCGAAGCAGAUGUGUGUAGAUCUCCUCCCAGCUCUGUGUUUUGAUCAAAUGUCAGGAGUCUGUAAAGCACAGGUGCUACCUCCAUUUUUCCAUACGUCCAGCAAGAUGCAGCCAAUUCAUUGAGGCAGGGAUACAGUUAAUUUUCAUGGUAGCUGAUAUGGUGCUGUGUUUUGGAUUUAGGAUGAAAAUAAUGUUGAUCCAGAUGGCAUUAAGAACAUUAAAACAACCACCAGGUGGAUCAGGCUGCUAGAACUGGAGUGCUUAUACAUUUCUAGAUUUGGAAUGGAUGACCAGAUCAUUGUCCUAUUGUACCCAUACAGACUAUCAGAAGUAACCUACUUGUUCUUUUAAUUGGACUAAAAUUUUCAAAGUGUAUGAAAAAUUGCUUAUCCCACUGAAAACAGACUUAUAUGCUGAGAGCUCGCAGCCCACUCUUCAAUUAUUGCAUGAAUAUGUUUAUUGUGUAUUGUUAUGUCCUGUAUGGAAAGUGUGUCCAUGGGAACAUGUGGUGUGUUAAACACUGUGCCUGCCCCCACUACCUGCUUCAUGAGCAGCCUAAAUGUGGAAGUACAUUCUCAUGGCUGAGCUGUGCAGUUUAUUUUCUGUUCUGCCACAGCAUGGGCUAAGCAGGAAAAUUUGCAUCUGGUUGAGGUGGCCCAGAGUAAAACCUAACCAAGAGACUUCGGUUCUGAGUUUCAGUUGUGCGUUGCAGGGAAACUCAUUUGUUUGUCUUAACCUUUGAAAAGUGAGUGUGACUGAAUUUGGGUUGAAAAAUCCCAUUGGGUUGAGGAAUAAAUGGUUUUAUAACAGGAAAUGUUGAAAUAGAAAGUUGAAAUUUUCUUCACGUUCUUUUAUUUUUUCCCUUUCUGCCAGUCACAAAUGACCCAAAUUCAUUCAAACUUCACCAAUAGCCUAGGUUAUGCCAUGGCAUUGCAUUUUUCUGCAAAUAAGCUCAUCCCAAAUUUGUGGCUUGGUUGUAGAGGUAAGGUUUACUGUGCCCUACAGCAUACCACAGAUUGGAGGGAGGCUGUGGAGAACCUAUAGCAGCAGCAGGGUCAAUAACUGUGUGGCACUGAAACCCUGCAGGCAAAGGAAGAAGCAAGGUCAAACCCUGCUAGCAGUGGGAUAAAACUGCUCGGAAACCCUCAGCUAUGGAUUGCCUUGUUCCCCAGCUGUUUGUAAUGCAAGCUGGAUUUCUAAUUAAUUAGGACAAAGUCAAUGAAUUAGUUGGACUUAGAUCUGUGAAUGAUGAAUACUGACCUAAACUUCCAGAUGUCUGUGCAACAGCUCUCCUUUCUGCAGGUGAUUCUUGCAUUCUCCCGAUUCCAAAGCUUUGCAGAGUUUCAGGUCAUGUUUAUCCUGACAGAGCCCAUGUUGUGAGCAUGGCUAGUCUUUGCUGUGGUUAAUUCCUUCUAGUGCAGCAAAAAUGCAUUGAAUAUUUGAAGUUUCCUUACUUUUGAGAGCAUUUUGCUAGCUCUGAAGAAGAGCUUCUCUGGCUGAGCAGCUGUGUGUGUUCGCCAGCAGGGCAAUAUGCUCACUGAAGAUCCUGAGAUUGACUGACCCAGCAUCUCUCUUCCUCAGGAGGAUCUCAGUGAAAAGACUCUUCAGUGUUGGACAAGCUUUGACUAAGUCUGAAUUUGCUGUAAUGCAUGCAAAAUGAGUCUAAAUUUCCUUUUCAUCACACACACAAUCAUGCCAUCACUUUGGACUUUGUUGUAGCCAUCAUUUCACACAUUGGCAUAACCUAGAAUGUGCUGGAGCAAAGCUGCGCUGGUAACAAAUUGUUUUCCUUCCAGGAUCUUUCAGAAAUGGUUCCUUUUUCUUGCCUCUCUUGGUUAAUUAAAGGGACAUACUGGAUUUCGUAGACUUAGAAAAUGAGUUGCCAUUCAUGCCAUAAUGCCACAGAUUUUUAUUACCCUUGCAGAUUUUAGAAGUACUUUUUUUUAGGGGGGGAGUGGGGGGGGGUUGCAAAGUUAUAGCAAGACUUUUAUAAAUCAGAAGAGGUAGAACAUGUUAUGUAGAAUGACAUCUGAUGGUUUAAUUGAUAUUGAAGCCUGUGGUUAACCUCUUUUCUAGGCCAAAUUGGUCACAAUUAAUGUUACAUGCUCAGCAAAGCCCCUGGGAGACAAAGUAGAAACUGCUAUAUCUUUCUGCACAAAGCUGGUACAGAGCAGCCUCACACUGUGCCUUUCUCACAGUUCCCUUUCGCAGUGGAAUUCCUUCUAAAAGGAAGAAAGAUAGUUCAUUCCCAGUGGAUUUGGUACUGCGAACAGAUUUUAUUCAUGAUGAUCUGGACAAAUGAGGCCUUGAACUGUGUGAAAACCACCAUUUCACACAUUGCUCAAUUUAUCACAACUGUUGGACCGUAAAGAAAAUAUUAUAUCAUGUCCCACAUUGAUGUGUGGCUAUGGGGGAAGUUCUUUGAUAUGUCAGAUUUGCCAUCCAGUGCUGUUGUUGGGAGAAAAGCCAGCAUUGCUUCAGUUCUGAUGUCACUUGUACACAGAAAAAUGUGUGUUGAGUUAUGGAAAAAAAAUAAAAAUGGUGUAAGUA